AAAGAAAUCACAGACUGAACACAAGGGCUGGAUACAAGAGAGAAAAAACAAGAAAGAAAAUCAGCUAGUGACUGGUUCAAAACAAGCAACAAGAAAUACCUCUUCACACUAUAUACAAAGAACUGGAGUUUUCUGCAGUCCCAAAACACGCAUCACACACAUGUACAUCUCUGUGGAAUUCAAUUCCUGGCAUGGGUGAAUAAGAAGUUAAUUCAUUUUCAAUAUCCAUCACCAGAGGUAUUGAAAUAAUAAAAUAUUUUACUUCACUUAAGCUUGUGUGCCAUUCC